rnacentral:misc_RNA from 2 species
ACGAGUUGAACGGGGUUGUAGCUGGCCUUCACGGGCAUGUGCACACCUCACUCAUCCACUCUACACCUGUGCACUUACUGUGGGUUUCGAGAGGCCGCGCUUGCGUGGUUGAUCGGGCUCACGUCUAUUACAAACUCUUCAGUAUCAGAAUGUGUAUCGCGAUGUAACGCAUCUAUAUA